GAUGAACGCUGGCGGCGUGCCUAAUACAUGCCAGUCGAGCGAACAGACGAGGAGCUUGCUCCUCUGACGUUAGCGGCGGACGGGUGAGUAACACGUGGAUAACCUACCUAUAAGACUGGGAUAACUUCGGGAAACCGGAGCUAAUACCGGAUAAUAUAUUGAACCGCAUGGUUCAAUAGUGAAAGACGGUUUUGCUGUCACUUAUAGAUGGAUCCGCGCCGCAUUAGCUAGUUGGUAAGGUAACGGCUUACCAAGGCAACGAUGCGUAGCCGACCUGAGAGGGUGAGCGGCCACACUGGAACUGAGACACGGUCCAGACUCCUACGGGAGGCAGCAGUAGGGAAUCUUCCGCAAGGGGCGAAAGCCUGACGGAGCAACGCCGCGGGAGUGAUGAAGGUCUUCGGAUCGUAAAACUCUGUUAUUAGGGAAGAAAAAAUGUGUAAGUAACUAUGCACGUCUUGACGGUACCUAAUAAGAAAGCCACGGCUAACUACGUG
rnacentral:rRNA from 1 species